GACGGAAACAUGAUUGAUUGAUCAUGAUCAUGAUUGAUUGAUUGAUUGAUUGAUUGAUUGAUUGAUUGAUUGAUUGAUUAGUUGGUUGUUGGUUGGUUUUGGUUGGUUGGUUAAACACAUUGGAUAGGGUCAAUUGAAACACGGAAAAAGACACAAAGAAGAUCUUGGACCCUAUAUUAAACACAUGAGACGGAAACAUGAUUGGUUGAUCAUGAUCAUGAUUGAUUGAUUGAUUGAUUGGUUGAUUGGUUGGUUGGUUGGUU
rnacentral:lncRNA from 1 species